rnacentral:rRNA from 1 species
AGUGAACGCUGGCGGUAGGCCUAACACAUGCAAGUCGAACGGCAGCACAGUAAGAGCUUGCUCUUACGGGUGGCGAGUGGCGGACGGGUGAGGAAUACAUCGGAAUCUACUUUUUCGUGGGGGAUAACGUAGGGAAACUUACGCUAAUACCGCAUACGACCUACGGGUGAAAGCAGGGGAUCUUCGGACCUUGCGCGAUUGAAUGAGCCGAUGUCGGAUUAGCUAGUUGGCGGGGUAAAGGCCCACCAAGGCGACGAUCCGUAGCUGGUCUGAGAGGAUGAUCAGCCACACUUGAUCUGAGACACGGUCCAGAUGCCUACGGGAGGCAGCAGUGGGGAAUAUUGGACAAUGGGCGCAAGCCUGAUCCAGCCAUACCGCGUGGGUGAAGAAGGCCUUCGGGUUGUAAAGCCCUUUUGUUGUGAAAGAAAAGCAGCAGGUUAAUACCCCGCUGUUCUGACGGUACCCAAAGAAUAAGCACCGGCUAACUUCGU